GGGAAGGUGGCUCAGUGGUAGAGCGCUUGCCUUGCAUGCAUGAGGCCCUGGGUUCAAUUCCUCAGCACUACUU
rfam:Dipodomys ordii contig_10839, whole genome shotgun sequence.